AUAUUGGACAAUGGGCGAAAGCCUGAUCCAGCCAUGCCGCGUGUGUGUAGAAUGUCUUCGGAUUGUAAAGCACUUUAAGUUGGGAGGAAGGGUUUGAAGCUAAUACCUUCAAUCUUUGACGUAACCAACAGAAUAAGAACCGGCUAACACUGUUCAAGUAGCCGCGGUAAUAAAGAGGGUGCAAGCGUUAAUCGGAAUUACUGGGCGUAAAGCGCGCGUAGGUGGUUCAGUAAGAUGGAAGUGAAAUCCCCGGGCUUAACCUGGGAACUGCUUUCAUAACUGCUGAGCUAGAGUACGGUAGAGGGUAGUGGAAUUUCCUGUGUAGCGGUGAAAUGCGUAGAUAUAGGAAGGAACACCAGUGGCGAAGGCGACUACCUGGACUGAUACUGACACUGAGGUGCGAAAGCGUGGGGAGCAAACAGG
rnacentral:rRNA from 1 species